AUUGAACGCUGGCGGCGUGCUUAACACAUGCAAGUCGAUCGGUAACAGGUGUAGCAAUACAUGCUGACGAGAGGCGGACGGGUGAGUAAUGCUUGGGAAUCUGCCUAUUAGUGGGGGACAACCCGGGGAAACUCGGGCUAAUACCGCAUACGCUCUACGGAGGAAAGCCGGGGACCGCAAGGCCUGGCGCUAAUAGAUGAGCCCAAGUCGGAUUAGCUAGUUGGUAGGGUAACGGCCUACCAAGGCGACAAUCCGUAGCUGGUCUGAGAGGACGACCAGCCACACCGGAACUGAGACACGGUCCGGACUCCUACGGGAGGCAGCAGUGGGGAAUAUUGGACAAUGGGGGCAACCCUGAUCCAGCGACGCCGCGUGGGUGAAGAAGGCCUGCGGGUUGUAAAGCCCUUUCGGUGGGGAAGAAAAGUCUCGACCUAAUACGUCGGGACCUUGACGUAACCCACUAAAGAAGCACCGGCUAACUCUGUGCCAGCAGCCGCUGUAAC
rnacentral:rRNA from 1 species